GGAAUUCAGAGCAAUCGCGUUCACUGCGUCCCUCAAAUGGGAUAUCCAGUAAUCUGGCGGAUAGAAGACAUUUACCACCCUGUUAUUUCAGCCGUUGGAAUUCCCGUUCCGUCUCACUGAUGUCUGUCCUGCCGCCGAUCAGCGUUACACAACAAAGGUGAUUCUCCUCGCCCGGAGUUGACGGAAGUAAGAGUCGACACCACAGAUGUCUUUUCGAGAGCAGAAUAGAUUUAUGCACCUCGCGCCAGAUCUUUGUCUUGC